ACUGCCUCUGAUUUUAGAUUGAGACAAAGAAAACAUCAUUUUGAUCUUUUAUUCAAUGUUACAUAAUCAAAGAAACUAGAAAAGGAUAUCUCAAAAGUCUACCGGAAGCCACAGUAGUAGUACAUGUAUUGAAAUGUCAAAUGCUUCAGUUUUUGCUAGUUUUUUUGUUAAGUAGAUGGAAAACUAUAAUGCAGAAUGUAAUUCAACACAUUACUCUAACCUUAUCCAGCAGGUUUCAUUCGACUUUAUGAAGCAAAAUGAGUUCAUUCUGCUGGGUGAUGCAAAACCUUUGGCCAUAGCUGUAGGCAUCAUACAGAACAAUAGAUUAUGAAAUGAUGUUGAUUAUGUUGCCCCUUUAGUCGGGGGAGCAGCACAGUGACAAGCAGUCUAUCCUAAAUGCUGAAAGGCAGCAGUCUCACCGCAAUCACAAGGGUCUUCUGUUUACAGGUCAGUUCUGAUUUAAUAUUUAAUCUGUUCAGAUCAUCCAUAUAGUCCCCAUUGAUUUCACUAACCUACAUGUAGUUUCCAGUCAUACACACUUGGUGAUUUUAAAAACUCUUCUUGUGGCUUUAAAACCAUGCUCCGGUCCUUAUCUGCUCCACCACAGGAGCUGCCCCUUGACGAGAGAAGUUUGCCUCUGAGUUGGUUGGUAACCCGACCCCUCCUCUUCUCUCUCUCUCUGUGUCAGAAGUGGCAGGGUUACUGGUUUAUUGAUCUGCAGGGGUCUUGUCUAGCUGUACGCACGCUGUCUGAAUUUGGUUCAGAGCGCAUUUCUGCCGUUCUGAAAGGGACUGGGAGAGGAGGUGUAUUUCCACAAGGAGCAGCCAGUGGGAAGGAAGUAAUGUUCAUUUCAGAUGUUCUUCUCAGCCCCCGGCUGCUUAGAGCAUGCUCAGUGAGGAGUUUUUGCCUGCGAUGCCUGUCAAGACUCUAAAUUUGAACUCAGUGACACAGACUGGAGAGAGCUGGGAGAUUUGGUGCUUUUUUUUUUUUUUUUUUUUUGCUGCUGCUCGGGGGAAGUGGACUGACUAACAGCUAUGAAUGAUACAAAGAAUGAGAAAUGGGAGUGCUGGAGUCGUGCUGGUUUGAUGUUUGUUGUGCAUUGAAGAUUGUGUGGAUAACAUAAGAAGGAACUUUUAUUGAAAAAAAGAAGAGGGCAAAACUACAGCCUUCUCAAUGGCUGGUGUCAGGCCCUGGGCAGACAACCAGGUGGAGAGGGAGCCUGGACCCCAUACUGAGGCGCUGUAUCACUCUUUCUGCUCAGUGUAAUUUAAUUACGCCCCAGGAAAGACAGCUCAGCCCCCCUUGCAUUGUGCUUAGUUGCCAUGGGAACCGCAAGCAGGAGACUAAAUUGUUCGGUAAAGAAAGAUAGAGCAGCGGAGCCCUGAACCCCAGCUUGCUGUCAGUUUGAUUCAGAAAAGGACACGUUCAAACAUCUGUCUGCAGUGUAAUCUUUGUGAGGCCAGGCUC